AUGAAGGGCCGAUCAGAAGCGAGGUCCUUGCUGCUCGUGUCUCCUUGCUGGUGGCAACCGGACCUUCAGCUUGCCAGCGACAGGCAGGAAUCCGGUUUGCUGGCUGAUGUCACGCCCGUUCCAAGGCAGGUUUUUCCCAGGGGAACCUCCUGGGGUGUGUCCUACGAGGUAGAAGUUUCUUGCUCGGUUCCUUUUGUUUGGGAUGAUCCAGAUAAGAUAGUGCAUCAGUUGCUCACAGGAAGAAACCGCCACAAUGAGAAUCCUCUUCUAAUCUGGCAAGUACUAUUCCUACUUGACUGA
rnacentral:rRNA from 1 species